rnacentral:rRNA from 1 species
AACGAACGCUGGCGGCGUGUUUAAGACAUGCAAGUCGCACGGUGUCAUUUUGGUAGCAAUACUUGAAUGGCAUAGUGGCGCACGGGUGAGUAACACGUGAACUACAUGCCCUGUAGAGGGGGAUAGCCCAGGGAAACUUGGAUUAAUACCCCAUGGUCUCGCAAGAGUAAAGGUGGCCGCAAGGCUGUCGCUACAGGAUUGGUUCGCGCCCUAUCAGCUUGUUGGCGGGGUAACGGCCCACCAAGGCUACGACGGGUACCUGGUCUGAGAGGACGAUCAGGCACACUGGAACUGAGACACGGUCCAGACACCUACGGGUGGCAGCAGUCGAGAAUAAUUCACAAUGGGGGCAACCCUGAUGGUGCAACGCCGCGUGGAGGAUGAUGGUCUUCGGAUUGUAAACUCCUGUCAUCCGGGAGUAAGACCUGGGAGUUAAUAGCUCACAGGGUUGAUAGUACCGGAAGAGGAAGGGACGGCUAACUUCGUGCCAGCAGCCGCCGUAACAC